rnacentral:rRNA from 1 species
AUUGAACGCUGGCGGCAUGCCUUACACAUGCAAGUCGAACGGCAGCACGGGAGCAAUCCUGGUGGCGAGUGGCGAACGGGUGAGUAAUAUAUCGGAACGUGCCCGGUCGUGGGGGAUAACGUAGCGAAAGCUACGCUAAUACCGCAUACGAUCUACGGAUGAAAGCGGGGGGAUCGCAAGACCUCGCGCGAUUGGAGCGGCCGAUAUCAGAUUAGGUAGUUGGUGAGGUAAAGGCUCACCAAGCCGACGAUCUGUAGCUGGUCUGAGAGGACGACCAGCCACACUGGGACUGAGACACGGCCCAGACUCCUACGGGAGGCAGCAGUGGGGAAUUUUGGUACAAUGGGCGCAAGCCUGAUCCAGCAAUGCCGCGUGCAGGA